rnacentral:rRNA from 1 species
UACGUAGGCAGCGAGCGUUGUUCGGAAUUACUGGGCGUAAAGCGUGCGUAGGCGGUUUGUUAAGUCUGCUGUGAAAUCCCCGAGCUCAACUUGGGAAUUGCAGUGGAUACUGGCAAGCUGGAGUACGGUAGAGGAAGGUGGAAUUCCCGGUGUAGCAGUGAAAUGCGUAGAGAUCGGGAGGAACACCAGUGGCGAAGGCGGCCUUCUGGACCAGUACUGACGCUCAUGCACGAAAGCGUGGGGAGCAAACAGG